rnacentral:rRNA from 1 species
CAGUCGCCACGGUAAUACGGAGGGUGCAAGCGUUAAUCGGAAUUACUGGGCGUAAAGCGCACGCAGGCGGUCUGACAAGUCAGAUGUGAAAUCCCCGGGCUUAACCUGGGAACUGCAUUUGAAACUGUCAGGCUGGAGUCUUGUAGAGGGGGGUGGAAUUCCAGGUGUAGCGGUGAAAUGCGUAGAGAUCUGGAGGAAUACCGGUGGCGAAGGCGGCCCCCUGGACAAAGACUGACGCUCAGGUGCGAAAGCGUGGGGAGCAAACAGGAUUAGAUACCCGCGUAGUCCCUGUCUCUAUACA